GUGCUUGCUUCGGUAGCACAUAUACUAAAAUUGGAACAGUACAGAGAUUACUGUGGACCCUGCACAAGGAUGACACGCAAAUCUGUGAAGCGGUCCAUAUUUUU
rnacentral:snRNA from 1 species